UUAAUUUCCCUCAAAAUUAAAGACAACGCCAAUCUGCAACAUAAAGGAUGAGGACUAUUAUACUCCUUUGUAUUGUGCUUUUUACGUCUCUUCUGGUCGUGGAGGAAGUGGAAUCAAGCUGGUGGCGACGAAACUGUAGAUGUGGCUGCGCUUCGAAAGGAUGUGGAUGCACGUGCAGAUUGCGGAGAAGAAAGAGGAGUGUGGACGAAUCUGCAAGACUCCAUCGCCAGAUGAACUUCCCAGGGUAAUUAAAUUACACAUUG